rnacentral:rRNA from 1 species
GAUGAACGCUGGCGGCGUGCUUAACACAUGCAAGUCGAACGAAGCACUUUACAACGAUCCCUUCGGGGUGACAAUUUAGUGACUGAGUGGGCGACGGGUGAAGGUAACGCGUGGGUAACCUGCCUUAUACUGGGGGAUAACAGUUGGAAACGACUGCUAAUACCGCAUAAGCGCACGAGGUCGCAUGACCUUGUGUGAAAAACUCCGGUGGUAUAAGAUGGACCCGCGUCUGAUUAGCUAGUUGGUGAGGUAAUGGCUCACCAAGGCGACGAUCAGUAGCCGACCUGAGAGGGUGACCGGCCACAUUGGGGACUGAGACACGGCCCAAACUCCUACGGGAGGCAGCAGUGGGGAAUAUUGCACAAUGGGCGAAAGCCUGAUGCAGCGACGCCGCGUGAGCGAGAAGUAUUUCGGUAUGUAAAGCUCUAUCAGCAGGGAAGAAAAAAUAGACGGUACCUGACUAAGAAAGCUCCGGCUAAAUAACGUGCCAGCAGCGCGGAAACG